GACGAACGCUGGCGGCGUGCUUAACACAUGCAAGUCGAACGGAAAGGCCCUGCUUUUGUGGGGUGCUCGAGUGGCGAACGGGUGAGUAACACGUGAGUAACCUGCCCUUGACUUUGGGAUAACUUCAGGAAACUGGGGCUAAUACCGGAUAGGAGCUCCUGCUGCAUGGUGGGGGUUGGAAAGUUUCGGCGGUUGGGGAUGGACUCGCGGCUUAUCAGCUUGUUGGUGGGGUAGUGGCUUACCAAGGCUUUGACGGGUAGCCGGCCUGAGAGGGUGACCGGCCACAUUGGGACUGAGAUACGGCACAGACUACUACGGGAGGCAGCAGUGGGGAAGAUUGCACAAUGGGCGGAAGCCUGAUGCAGCAACGCCGCGUGCGGGAUGACGGCCUUCGGGUUGUAAACCGCUUUCGCCUGUGACGAAGCGUGAGUGACGGUAAUGGGUAAAGAAGCACCGGCUAACUACGUG
rnacentral:rRNA from 1 species